rnacentral:rRNA from 1 species
UACUCAGCAGUAAUUAACAUUAAGCAAUAAGUGAAAACUUGACUUAGUUAUAGCGACCUCACAGGGCCGGUAAAUCUUGUGCCAGCCACCGCGGUCAUACAAGAGGCCCAAACUAACAGUAAUCGGCGUAAAGCGUGGUAAUAUGUUAUCCAACUAAACUAAGACCAAAAUACAACUAAGCCGUCAUAAGCUCAAGAUGCCCCUAAAACCUUCAUAAAUAUGAUCUUAGCACCCACGACCAAUUUCAACCCACGAAAGCUAAGGCACAAACUGGGAUUAGAUACCCCACUAUGCUUGGCCCUAAAUCUAGAUACUUACCCUACACAAGUAUCCGCCUGAGAACUACGAGCACAAACGCUUAAAA